UUCCAGUUAUCAUUUAGGGUCAACAAAUCAAGCAUAAAUUCUCAAUAGCAUUGCAAAAUGACAUAAUAUAUUCGCAAAAUAAGUCCACUCUUCCUUAGGAGUUGGGUUUUUAACUCCACAAAUAUUUGCGUGUAGUGUUUGAGUGUAGAAGCAUCGAUAUAAUAUAAUUGGGAACUUGUGAAGAAAAUAUUUUAGUACCUAAGAGAGCAUGUUUAUUUUUUUGGGUUGUCGCUGUGGCCUAUGAAUGUGUGAAGACUUACAAUGCACUCCGUUAGUCUUAGCUAGGCAUCUUUAAUUUGCCCUUGUUGUUCUCGCACUAGUAUUUGUGGGGACAGGCCAACUAUCAGAACCCUUUCGCCCUGGCGUUGAUUUCGGAUCUAAACAUUCGUUAUCGUUCACUUGAGGUCAAACAAAUCAAGUAUAAAUUCUGAAUGGCGUUGCAAAAUGGCACAUUAUAUUGUAAAAUAAGUCCAGAAUGUAUACUAUAUCAACAUUUCUUGGAAGUUGGGUGUUUGUCGUGUUAACUCUCCAAGUAUUUUGUGUGUGUUGUUUCAGUGUGGAGGAUUGCCUCAAAGGUGUAGGUACAUCCGUUACAUGUUUUGCCUAUAUUCCGGUUUUCAAGUGGAACAGUGAGCUUCAAAAAUGUGAAUCUGCAGUAUACGGGGGUUGCCACAAAACAAAUAACAAAUUUUUUACGAUAGAGCAAUGUCGACAAAUUGCACAACCGGUAUGUAAAGGCAUAAAGUAACUUUAAGUUGUUUAUUAUAUUAUAGUUUAAUUAACAUUAAUAAAAUCGUUUGUACAAAUA